GACGAACGCUGGCGGCGUGCUUAACACAUGCAAGUCGAACGGAAAGGCCCCUUUGGGGGUACUCGAGUGGCGAACGGGUGAGUAACACGUGAGUAACCUGCCCUUGACUUCGGGAUAACUUCAUGAAACUGGGGCUAAUACCGGAUAGGAAUCCUUGCUGCAUGGUGGGGGUUGGAAAGCUUCGGCGGGUUUGGAUGGACUCGCGGCCUAUCAGCUUGUUGGUGGGGUAGUGGCUUACCAAGGCUUUGACGGGUAGCCGGCCUGAGAGGGCGACCGGCCACAUUGGGACUGAGAAACGGCCCAGACUCCUAAGGGAGGCAGCAGUGGGGAAUAUUGCACAAUGGGCGGAAGCCGGAUGCAGCAACGCCGCGGGCGGGAUGACGGCCUUCGGGUUGUAAACCGCUUUCAGCAGGGGCGAAGCUUGUGGUGACGGUACCUGCAGAAGAAGCACCGGCUAACUACGUG
rnacentral:rRNA from 1 species